CCUACGAGUGACAGCAGUGAGGAAUAUUGGUCAAUGGACGCGAGUCUGAACCAGCCAUGCCGCGUGCAGGAUGACGGCUCUAUGAGUUGUACACCGCUUUUGUACGAGGGUAAACCCCGAUACGUGUAUCGGGUUGAAAGUAUCUUACGAAUAAGGAUCGGCUAACUCCGUGCCAGCAGCCGCGGUAAUACGGAGGAUCCGAGCUUUAUCCGGAUUUAUUGGGUUUAAAGGGUGGGUAGGCGGUUUUAUAAGUUAGAGGUGAAAUGUCGGGGCUCAACCCCGAAACUGCCUCUAAAACUGUUGGACUAGAGAAUAGUUGCGGUAGGCGGAAUGUAUGGUGUAGCGGUGAAAUGCUUAGAGAUCAUACAGAACACCGAUUGCGAAGGCAGCUUACCAAACUAAAUCUGACGUUGAGGCACGAAAGCGUGGGUAGCAAACAGGAUUAGAUACCCUGGUAGUC
rnacentral:rRNA from 1 species